ACCGCCCCUGCCUCCGCCCCGCGCCCGCGCACACGAUCAGUCCCAGCUGGCUUCCGCGGAUUCCCGGACGCCGUUGCGCGAUUCCGCAGCCCGCCCGCCCGCCCCUCCAGCGCCGCAGCUAGGGAGCUCGCGGAUCUGCGACCGCGCUACCCAUACUCCGGAGCCGCCGUUCCCGUCCCAUCCGAUCCGCUUUGGGGUCGACGCUGCUCGGAUUCCACCUUCCCCGCCGUGCCCGGAGCGCCGCUCGGCUCGGCCUCGGGUCGAUAUCGCUAUCGCUGAGCCGUCGCCGUCGUCCCUGCCUCCUCCGAGCCGGAGUCGUCACCCUCUUCAACUGCAUCGGCGACGUCAACCGACAUGCACUGCCACCCCGCAUUGCGCCCGCCCUCAUACACGCCGCCGCCGUAUCCGGCGUCUCGCCCGCUUCGCGGCCAACGGCACCUCCGAGUCCGAGGGCUGCCAAUGUCCGCUCCGCCAAUCUACAACAAAAGGAUUUCAUGAUGACAUUCUCAUUCUCUCUUCGUCAGAUUAAUGCAUUUGUGGAUGGCAUUCUCUGAUUGUGAUGCCCUCAUGUGUAGGAUUUCGUGAUGCUUUGGCAUGGCAUCGGUGGUCAUAUGUUUCAGAUUAUGUUAUGAUACAUCCUAGCAUUACUGAUAAGUAUUUAAAUACAAGUAGCAGAUCAGAACAGGCAAAGUGGACUUAUGUGUUCUCGUUCCUCGGUUAAAUCUGAUUUAUGCGGCCAGCUAACAUAGUAGUACGUGUGGUUUGCUAUGGGAGAAAAGCCUGAGGGUAUGGGAGCAGCUGGCUUGGGACGUUUGCAGUUGUACGACACUAAGAAUAUGGAAGCAGCUUGUAUGAAUUGGUUGUGUAUGUUUGAACAAGAAAAAAAAAGGCAGGCAAGCUGUAUAUGUUUGAACAAGAAGAAAGGCACGCGGGAUGUAUGUUUGAACAAGAAGAAUGGCAGUCAAGUAAUUGCCUAUGAUCUGCUUGCUUUGAUGCAGUUGGGAAUCUGAUGCAUGUAUGUAUGCGUUGCAUGAGUUCUUUAGCAAGAGAGUGUAAUAACUAUCUUAAUUGAAAUUCCCAUUCUGGCGUAUCCGUGUGGGACUACACAUAUUGCAUGAUGGAGGAUUGUCAUGUCAAUUCUUCUCUUUUGGUGGUUUCCAGCAGGAUUUUAACUA